GACGAACGCUGGCGGCGUGCCUAAUACAUGCAAGUAGAACGCAGUUGCGAACGGGUGAGUAACGCGUAUGUACCCUGCCUCCUAGCGGGGGAUAACUAUUUGACACGCUAGCUCAUACCGCAUACUGUGAGAUGUACCUGCGUUGUAUUAGCUAGUUGGUGAGGUAAAGUCUCACCAAGGCGACGAUACAUAGCCGGCCUGAGAGGGUGAGCGGCCACACGGGGACUGAGACACGGCCCAGACUCCUACGGGAGGCAGCAGUAGGGAAUCUUCCGCAAUGGACGGAAGGCUGACCGAGCAACGCAGCGUGAGUGAAGAAGGUUUUCGGAUCGUAAAGCUCUGUUGGUAGGGAAGCGGUAACGAACCAGAAAGGGACGGAUAACUACGUGCCAGCAGCCGCGGUAAUAC
rnacentral:rRNA from 1 species